rnacentral:rRNA from 1 species
GAUGAACGCUAGCUACAGGCUUAACACAUGCAAGUCGAGGGGCAGCAUUUUAGUUUGCUUGCAAACUGAAGAUGGCGACCGGCGCACGGGUGAGUAACACGUAUCCAACCUGCCGAUAACUCCGGGAUAGCCUUUCGAAAGAAAGAUUAAUACCUGAUGGUAUCUUAAGCACACAUGUAAUUAAGAUUAAAGAUUUAUCGGUGUACGAUGGGGAUGCGUUCCAUUAGGUAGUAGGCGGGGUAACGGCCCACCUAGCCUACGAUGGAUAGGGGUUCUGAGAGGAAGGUCCCCCACAUUGGAACUGAGACACGGUCCAAACUCCUACGGGAGGCAGCAGUGAGGAAUAUUGGUCAAUGGACGAGAGUCUGAACCAGCCAAGUAGCGUGAAGGAUGACUGCCCUAUGGGUUGUAAACUUCUUUUAUAAAGGAAUAAAGUCGGGUAUGGAUACCCGUUUGCAUGUACUUUAUGAAUAAGGAUCGGCUAACUCCGUG